ensembl:lincRNA
GCGCUUCCUUCUGGAAUCUCCACAGGAGAACCCUCACCUUUCGGCUGCUGGAGGCCUCCCGCAUUCCUUCCCCUGUGUCCCUUCCUCCACCUCCAGGGCCACAGCGGUGCCCCUCCCUGGCUCCUCCUCCUUGGUCCUAUGGCUUCUCAGAGUCAGGCUGGGCCCAGGGGGAACCUAGGGUGCUGUCGAGUCCUGCACUGACCCUCCUGCCAAGCCCUCCGAUCACACAGGGAAGUGUACUUGUGGGCCCAGGGAUUAAGACACGGGCAUCCUGGGGGCAUUGCUUCUCUGCCCCCUGCUUCUCCCAUCAUCGCUGUCUCCAGCCACCAGCAUGGGGCGCCUGUUUUGUUUUUUCCUUCCCCGCUCGCCCCCGGCUGGCUGUUUCCCUACCAUGGUGGCCGCCCCUCACUCUGGAGCCAGGAGUGUCUCGAAUCACAGGCAGCUUCUGGACUGUAGAUUGGCCAGUUCCACCCUGGCCUUCCAAGUCCACCCUAGUGCCUUCAACCUACAGCGUUUCCUAGGCCUCCCUGACCCACCCAUUCUGCAGCCGUCUCCACUGAUCCCUUCUCUGCUGCGUGGAUUCUGCUCUGAAGAAUCUACGCUGAGGAUGAGGCGGCACCCGACGACGCUGAGUCUGACCGGACCUGGUAGGGAUAGGGACUGUACCAAAGCAAAUGCUGCCCGUAGCCUUGUAAGCCAGACGCAUGGUGUGGCCCCCACCCAGGGGUUGCCACUGGUGGUCAUUCUGAAGUCUUCUUGCAGGACUGACCGACCCAGACCUCUGUACUAUCAGGGCAUCUCAAUGUGGGGACGUACCAACUGGAAGAUAGAUGGUCCCAGCCAAGGCCAAGGUCACGUCUCCCAGAACAUCACACACAGCGAGACAGGGUUCUCUUCUCCCUCCUGCCCUCGCUCCCUUCCAAGAGUCCCAGAAGACAAGGACAGAAGGACACAAGCCCGGAGAAUGGCGAUAUUCUUCUAAUGUCCCUUGAGAAGGAACAGCUCACUUCCAGGGCUGGCGGUGAGGGCCAUGGCACCCAAACCCAGAGGUAAGGGACAAGCCCAAGAGGGAGCUGGAGGACCUUCUCCACACAAGGCCGUUCUGGGGUGGCCCUGUUCUGCCGUCACCAGCAGCUCUCCUGGCUCACAGCCUGCCCCAGGGCCUUCCCUGCCAGGCACGCCUCCGCCCCGUCCUGACCUUUCCCACCUGCAAUCUCGCUCCAACCCACCUCUGAAGACUGCCCAGGAGGGCGGCCUGCAAGCUCUGCGGGUGCAGGACAAGCUAAACAGGGCUCGGCACCGCAGGGAGCUCCCUGUCCUCCUGCCUUCCUGUCUGCCCCGGCCCCUUCCCUUCCACACGAGAGAAAGCACCACGGGUCCACCCACAGCCGUUCGCGUCCCCUGACCUUCCUCGGCUGUUUUCUCUAGGGUCAUGGUGUGUCCUCUUAUCUAAACCCAAACCUUCUGAGUGAAGGAGUCGCCAGGAAUGAUCACGCCGCAACAACAGGUGCAUGGUGGGCUGGGGUGUGGCGUGAGCGACUCCCCAGGGCCCCUGGGGAUCCUAGGUUUGGUCUCCAGGGUGGCACUAUUGGGAGAUAGUGGACCCUCUGGGAGGCGGGGCCAAGAGGGCCUUGGUCAAUUGGUGGCCUGGUCUCUGAGGGGAUUGUGGGACCCCUGUCUCUCCCUGUACUUGGUCCAAGAGGUGAUCACUUGUUAGCUUCUGCAGGAGUUCCAACUAUUUGAGGUGAUGGUGUUAAGAGGUGGCCCUCACCAAGCCGGCAAAAUGCCACUUAGACUUUCAGCCUCCAAAACAGUGAGCUAAAUAAACCUUUAUUUCCUAAGCAGCCUGUGUCAGGUAUUUUGUUAUAGUGACAAAAAGCACACAUGGGAUAAACCAGGCUUG